UAAGGAACUUUGGAUUUGUGGUGAUUUUGGUGCUCACUCUGGACAAAACUGUUUGUAGAUUUGGUCCUGUACAUAUUGUUUUAUCUCCAAAUAAUUUUGAACCUUCACCCCCCCGAAAAAUAGCUACUUUAUAUCUGUAGUGUGCUGUUAAUCACUACAGCUGGCAGCCCACUAAAAAUGUUCAUCUUUAUUUUGUAGGUCAUAUAGAGGGAUUGCUUUUAAUUGCAGUCAGUUUUAUGACCACCCAAGAACUCCUCACAGGAACUUUAAGAAGUUAGAUGAAGGCCACUCAUAAGCAUGACUAAGCAUAUGAUAGAGACAGUGGUCCAUCUUUGAUGCUUUAUUUGAUAAACUAUAGAUAUCAGUUACCAGUUAGAUGUUGUCUGUUUUAUAUUUCAAAGACAUUGAACUUGGAUGUAUUAUAUCCUUUUUAAUCCCACUUGUGAAUGUUAAGAAAUAUCUAUAUCAUUUGCCUGCUAGAGCCAGUGGAUGAGCACCAUCUGCUGGUCUGGUGGAUGUAUUGCAGCUAAGUGUAUGAUUUAAAAACUCAUAUGACUUGAAGUCUUGUCUCUUUGUAAUAUUAGAAAUUACUUAAUCAGUGAAAAAUAUGCGAAAUGUGCAUCCUAUAAAAUUGCGCCUAAAUGAAACAUUGCUAAUUAGUUAAUGUAAUUGUACGAUGAUAUGGUUCCUUGUGAGUCUCCGUAGAUAUGAGACUUUUUUGGUCAAUUCUUUUGAAAUUAAGGUAAACACAGAUCCAUGAGCCUUAUAUGCAUUUUCAGCAAAACUGCAAAAUUCCACCUGAGUAUUUUUAGUCAACAUUAUACACAUUAACACAAUAAUAUCAUAGGUUCAUGUCUCCAAAAUGGACUGACCGAAAAUGCCCCGGCUCAGACUUAAAUGAAAAAAGGUCCCUCUAAAUGUUCCAUUUACUCCUUGCAUGAAUGCUAAAGCAGGUCCACAGUAGAGAAACUUGCUGCUUAAUUAUCAAAAGUGUGCUCUGCGUGCUCCGAGGGGGAGAUUCUGUGGACAUGAUGGGACUGACCUUGUUGCUUUCAGCCCAUUCAAACUGCUGCCGUGCUUCACUGGUGGAUGUCACAGUGUCACCCACGGGGACGAGGGAGAGGGAGCAGAGAGAGAGCCCGAGAGAUUGUCUGUGCACAUUCCUACACUGGUUGCUACUUACAAGGUCUGCAUUAACACACAUACAAUACACCCCCCUUAUGAAGCACACACACACACACACACACAUACAGCAAGUCACAGCAUCUUCACGUAGAUCCCUGGCAAAGCCAAAGCGAUGCAACUGCUCCUCCAUUGUAAGACCCCCUUAACUCCCUCCCUUCUUCUUGCACUCUUUCUCCUUACCCUCCACCCACCUACCAGUCUCUACCCCAAACCCUGCUAGCUGGCCCCGCUCUUUUCUCCUAGUCACCAUGGAGACCGCUAACAAAGCCAUCACUUUUACCAAUUUCCUCAGAGACAGGUGCUGGCACAAUGACUGCUUCCUCGCAGGCUGAAAGGGGAAGGGGCAAGAGGGGUCCAUGGGAACUCCAGGCGGACACUCUGAGGGCUGUCCAAGUGUCCUCCUCCCUGGGCCCUACCGAGAAAAGAAGGCUAAUUUGUUGUCCCUGUUUUCCCAGGGAGGGGGGAUGCAGGAGGAAGGAGGAGGGGGGAGAAAGAGAGAGGGAGGCUGGAGGCUCGAAGAAGGGCGAGUGAGGCACGAAGAAUGACGCAGAGAGAGAGAGACAGAGACACACACACACAGACAGAGAGAGAGAGACAGAGAGGGUGUAGGCAAAGGGGUGUUGACGAGUUUUCAAAACAGACCGCCUAAUAUCAGUCUCCUCUCGCUUCCUCCUGCCAAUGGGUGGCUGGAUCCUCCUUUUCUCUCCUUGUUCUCCCAUCUUCUCUUGCUUCCCCCUUUCUCCUGCUACAACUCUUUGGGCCUCGAAACAAUGGCGUGUCAUGGCAUCAUGACUGCAAGAUGUUUCAAUUUAGCUUUCAGCCAGCAUUCACUUCCCUUUUUUGUAUGUGCUCUUUGUGUGUGUGCCAGUUCAAAUGUGCUCAUAUCUAUAAAAAACAAAUUCCUACAAGGGUGUUAGUAGGUUUCUGGGAGAUUUAAUGUACCUUUAUUAUUUAUUUAUAUAUUUAUUGGAUGUAGUGUCUGUUACUGUAAAAUAAACACUAUAACAUCACUAAUGUUUAAGAUGCUGCAAAAGAAACACCCCUGUCUACAUAAAGAAAAAGAUAAAAAUGAGACUAAAAUGUGUUGUUAUGCAAAAAAAAAAAAUAUAUAUAUAUUUUUUUUUAUUAUUUUAUUUGAUUAAAUUUUUUAUAUUUUUAAUUACUGUUUACUGGUUUCUGUUACAGCUGCACUGUCACCCUGAAAAAGAGUCUGUCUGUUGGCACAGCUACAAAGUAUUUAUUGCCCCUCUAUGAAGAGAGGCCAUGGGGAGUGUGAGGGAGGGGUGUGUGUGUGUGUGUGUGUGUGUGUGUGUGUGUGUGUGUGUGUGUGUGUGUGUGUGUGUGUGUGUGUGCUUGCUCAUGAAAUUGUGUGUGUUUGUGCAUGUUGUUUGAAAAGGCCUUACAACUUUUUGUUGGAGGUACAAAACUUAUUGGGAUGGCAUGUAUAAACACUUACCUUCUGGGAGAGACAUGUUAUUCAGCUGCAGAAGACCCUAGUGUCUGUUUAUAGUAGAUCUGCAAUAACAUACAGAUGGACUGGUCCAGGUUUACAUUGACUUAAUAUAGUGAAGUUAUUAUUUUGAUUGAUAUGUUUAGAUAUAUAUGUAUAAAUAAUACAUGAUUUGAUUAUAGAUUUCUUAUAAGGUUGUUGAGAAAAUAAGAUGGCUUAAAAACUUUGUGAACAAUAACAGCUACAAUGUUUGCAAUGGAUUAAAAAUUUCGAAUGUAACAAGUUUCAGUUAAAACACGACAAUAUGACUAAAAGACAGAGGACACUUGUCUGUCUUACCUACAAUAUAUUGGCAGAGUGACUUUAAAUUUGACAUGUGUUUCAAGAUGGGGUCUGACCUCUGUUUUAUAACAGCUGUUACUUCUCUAGUAGGGCUUUCCACAGGAUUAAGGAGUGUGUCUGUAGAAAAUGAUGUCCUAUUCAGCCAAGUUCCUCAGCAAGACCCUGGAAAGAGUAGUCGCCGUGCAGCUCCAGCAGCACAUGUCCGACCACAAACUCUCCGAACCCUUCCAGUCUGCCUACAGAGCGCACCACAGCACUGAGACCGCCUUGGUUAAAAUCAUCAAUGACCUCCUCAUCGCGGCUGACUCCGGCAACAUCAGCAUCCUCAUCCUGUUGUACCUCUCUGCAGCCUUUGACACAGUCUCUCACUCCAUCCUCCUCAACCGCCUCUCUACACACCUCAAUAUCACUGGAUCUGCGCUCUCCUGGUUUCACUCCUAUCUGUCCAACCGCCUGCAGUUUGUCUCCAUGCAUGGUUCCAAGUCCCACCCAGCCCCAGUUCCACACGGAGUCCCACAGGGUUCCGUACUUGGUCCACUCCUCUUCACCAUAUACAUGCUCCCGCUCGGCCAGAUCAUCCGUAAGCACGGCCUUGAUUUCCACUGUUACGCCGAUGACACACAGAUAUAUCUCAGCACCACACCCACUACUCUGCUCCCUCCACUCCCCAUUGUCAACUGCCUACAAGAAAUAAAAACCUGGCUGACCACCAACCUACUCCAACUCAACGCCAAGAAAACAGAGCUCUUGCUCAUGGCUCCCAAGGCACUGCUUCGCAGAAUGGGUGAUUUCCUCCUCCAUAUUGACGGCUACUCCAUCUCCCCAUCCUCCGAGGUGCGCAACCUGGGCGUCAUCUUGGACUCUGCCCUCUCAUUCCAAACCCACAUUAAAUCCGUAACUAAGUCAGCCUUUUUCCACCUUAAGACCAUCUCCAGACUCCGCUCAUCCCUCUCAGACCCUGUUGCAGAAACCCUCAUCCAUGCCUUUGUAUCCUCCCGCUUAGACUACUGCAACGGUGUCCUGUUCGGACUUCCUAAAAAAGACUUGGACCGUCUGCAGUACGUUCAAAAUUCAGCUGCCAGAGUGCUCACCCAGACCAAACCUUGGCAGCACAUCACCCCCACCCUCAAACGCCUCCACUGGCUUCCCAUCAAAUAUCGCAUCAUCUACAAACUCCUCCUGCUCACCUACAAAGCUCUCCAUGCCCUAGCCCCAUACUAUCUCUCUGACCUCCUCAAGGACUACAUCCCGGCGCGUACUCUGCGGUCUGCAGACCUUGGGCUCCUCACUGUCCGCUAUGGGAAAAGGCGAUCCCUUGGUGACAGAGCCUUCAGUGUGGCUGCCCCUCCUCUCUGGAACUCUCUCCCCUCUGAGAUUCGCCAAGCACAGACUCUUGACUCUUUCAAGUCUGCUCUGAAGCGACACUUGUUUAUCCAGGCUUUUGGUAUUUAGUUUUUGUAAUGUGUUGUUAAGCGCCUUGGGUAUCCUGAAAGGCGCUAUAUAAAUGUAAGAUAUUAUUAUUAUUAUUAAGGGAUCAGUUCUGAGGUCAGGCACCUACUUCAGAUGAGCCAGACUGGCCCACAAUCAGUGUUUUAUACUUAUAAAGACGUUAAGUGGGGUUCAGGGCUUUUUAGACAGUUGCUCUUCCAUACAAAUCUCAUCUAACUAGGUUUCGUGGUGGUGGGUUUGACUCAGCUUUUUUAACGAAACAUGACCAUUGAAACCAAAGAACCAAACUGUUUGGAUCCAAACAAUUUAUUUUUUGGAGCAUCUCCAAGACAAGUAAUCAAAAGUUUUCCAGUGUUCAGAAAGCCAGCACCAGUGCAGACUCAUUCCAUGAUUGAACAAGCAUUUGUAGCUCUUUUGGAGCAUUUUGAGGUUCAGUGUUUUUCCAAGAAUAUCAGACAUGUUGAGUGCACAAGCCACAAACUGCCAUCUUUUUGACUGGGAGAUGACCAUUGAUCUGCAGCCACCAAUGGUCAGCUUGCUGACAACAGUCUCUUAAGCUAAUUGUGUUAAAGCAACUUGUUCUCUGGUGUUAAGCGUGCUUCCCUUGAACUAAUAAACUAAAAACAACAACAGCUAAUGACCAUAGUUUAAAAAAAAAGAUUGUAGGACCAAGAGCUGUAGCCACUAUCCUAGAAAAAUAAAUAGUUUAACCAACAUUACGGGUAUUCCAAAACCUGCAAUGCACAUUUGCAUUCCAUUAGGAUUUUUUUUCUUUCCUGAUUCUCUUGAGUAUAAAUAAACCAAUCAGUGUAAAACUAGAAGCUUUUAUAUGUCCCAUUACCUGCAUUGGGACUCUUACUAAAUGAAAUUUUCAAUACAAUCAGUUACAGUGUCUCACCUUGAAUCUAUCCCUAGAGGGCGCCAAAGUUUCAAGUACACACACUGUGACAUUAGAAAGUCCUCCAUUCCUGUAGUCAUUAAGGUACAAAGAGUGCCUUGAAAAAGUAUUCAUACCCCUUGAACUUUUUCACAUUUUGUCGCUCUACAACCACAAACUUAAAAGCAUUUUUUUGAGAUUUUUUGUCAUAGACCAAGACAAAGUAGCACAUAAUUGUGAAGUGGAACGAAAAUGAUACAUGGUUUUCAAAAAAUGUUAAACAAGUAAAAGUCUGAAAAGUGUGGUGUGCAUUUGUAUUCAGUUGUAUUUAUGCUGAUACUAAAUUACACACAGGUGGACUCUAUUAACUAAUUAGGUGACUUCUGAAGGCAGCUGAUUACACUGCAUUUUAUUUUUAGGGGUAUCAGAGUACAGGGGACUGAAUACAAAUGCACACCACACUUUUCAGAUUUUUAUUUGUUUAUUAUUUUUUUAAACCAUAUAUCAUUUUCAUUCCACUUCAUAAUUAUGUGUUACUUUGUGUUGGUCUAUGACAAAAAAUUUCAAUAAAAUACUUUUAAGUUUGUGGUUGUAGAGUGGCAAAAUGUGAAAAAGUUAAAGGGGUAUGAGUACUUUUUCAAGGCACUGUAUAUUUAGAGGAAUUUUGCAUUAAGGAACAAACCCUUGAUCAGAAAUUUUCUGCUUUAGAUAAGAUUUAAGUCUCUUCCUCUACGUCACACCAGUGCCCUUUCAUAAAAUGAGUUAUAAAUAAAUAUAUAGCGUCAUAAUGAUAAACUUCCACUAUGCCAUUCCAACUUCCUACAGCUACUUUAGCAGAGGGUCGUGAAGUGUACUACUUGGUUGCCAUUACACAUCAGCUGACCUGCAGGAAGUUCCCCAGCUGUUAGGGAGAUCCUUGUGUAUCACGCUGAGAUCUAUCUUUAGUAUCUUCUGCUUCCCCUCCUGUGACGUAGGAGGGGAGAAACUUCUCACUCAGGGGUGACUCAGGGCCAAACAGUGAGUUAAUGAGUGAAACAUGAGCCACAAGUUUUAGUAGGGUGUAGCAAAAGUUGGUCAUUUUCCAUGGCUUUUUGUAACAGUAGUGCACUGAAGUGAAAUUAAUGGAGAUUGACAGUUAAAAAACACACAACUGCUAAAUAAAGAGGAUGUAAGAGGUACAAAGUUAAUGCUAAAUAUGAAGAAAAAGAUGGAAUGAUUCAAAUGAACUAAAUCUAUCAGGACAAAAAUAGAUUCUUAACACUGAGAUGAUGUUUUGGGUUACCUGGAGUCCUAAAGCAGGCAGAGUGUUGUGGUCAGACACUAAAAAUAUCAUGGGUAUGUUACUUCCACUUUUUCCAUUGCCUGGUUUACAUCCUGUUGCUGGGAGGCCAGUUUGUUUACAGAGUUGUGUCAUAUUAUAAUAUGCCUGUGGUGCAAAUGAUCAUGUGUCGUAGCCGGUUGAGCUGUCUCUUACCAGAAGGCGUUGAUCUGUGGGCGUGUGAGGGAUGAAGGAGGCGUCACAAGGAAUUAUUGACCCCAUGGAAAAUUGUCAUAUUGUGUCCCAUCACUGCAGCACAACUACUAUAAUCAAACAUUCAUCAUACUCAUGACCCAUUACAAGUUUCAAAGAACUUUACUUUAACUUCAUGCAACACACCAGCAAAAUUAAAAGCAUAAUACUUCUCAGUAACAUCCAGAGCAUCAUAUUGUUUCACAAAAAAGUGUAUGCUAAACUUGUCACAAACUCACAAAAGUCUUUCAGGAUAUGUGAACACUGAAUGUACUGUGUGUUAGAAUACUUUUAAAAAUAAAAAUUACAGAAAAAUAAAACAACGAGAAAAUCACUUAGGUUACUUUAUGAAAAAAAAUCAUCCAAAAAGUUAUUGCCUGAGCAGUAAUUUGGAGACAUCUCCUUCUCUGAAAGCUUUGUGAUUCCAUCCUUUUCCUCAACACUAGAAUAUUCUGUUGCUUGGCCAACAGCAACAUCUGGUCUUCACAAACAAAUAUAGCCUAUAAAUGCAUCCUUGUACAACAAAAGCCUUUAAAUUAAAAAAAAAAUGCAGUUUCCCUCAUGGACACAAAAUCUUGAUAUUGUCCACCAGAUGUCAGCAGAACCCAAACAAUGAAAAAACUUCCAGCACACAGUGAACAUAGUUAACCCCAAUGUGUUACCCAAGACUCACCAACAGAGUGAAUCAUUUAUGUCAACUUGUCUCUUCUUGAGUUUAACAUUCAGGGUUGUUAUGUAACAAAUUGUAGGUGUUUGAAUGGGAAGUCACCUCUAUCAUUAAAAGUUUUAUGUGGUUUAAAAAUACAUUUCACAUUGAAAGGCUCAAUAUGCUCCCUUGUUAAGCCUGUGUUGUACUUAAUUUUUGGUGUCUGCACCCUGACAAAGUUUCUACAGGGAAUCAGUAUUAAAAUGGACUCGGUGUGAAAGGAUUUUUAUGAAAAUUUAGUCAUCUUAUUGGGACAAUACAUGGUGAAAAACAGACAAAGUUUCCUAAUAUUAAUCCAUUGACAACUUUAAUGAUGGAAGAGGCGGUAUCAUUAAAAUCAGAGCCAUGACUUUGUGUCUGUCCAUGACUUAAUUGUGCUCUUGUGAAGUCUGAUGUAAAUCAAAAGCUUUAAAAUGCCGCAGAGGAAGACCCAGAGGAAACUAACACUCACAGUGCGUCUGCUUUGUCUACAAAGGAAACGCUCCGGGCUUCCUCUCUCCAUCAUUAGCAUGGUGUCUCCCCCUGGUCUCAGAAUAAAUACUUUUAAUCCUUUAGAGGGAAGUACUGUGCAAGUUUCUUCUCUCGCUGCGUGAGUGUCUUCUGUGAGUGCAGCUGUGCAGUUUGACAGCAGCCAUCCCUCUGCAGCCUCCUUGUCCCUUUUCUUCCUCUAUUAAACGGCACAAUUAGCUAGUUUAUAUGCUUCCACAAUACAGACAGUGAAGCAACUGUGAAGGGAAUCCAUAUAAGUUUACUACAAUGUUGCAUUUGUUUUUAACAAUACUUAAGAGUGCAACUCUGUGGACUGGCUGACAACCUCUUCUCCUCUGCAGCUCUCAUAUUUGUUGUCCUCAUUCCAGAGUCAAACAGAUGUGACCAGCUGAACCCAUCUACUGUAAGGUGCUGCUGGUUAACUGGCACGUGACUAGUUUCUGUCUCAUUAUUUUCUUUUUUAUCUCCAUGUCUUUAAUGAGAGUAUAAUGGUUGUUUGUGCUGCAACUGGCCUACAUACACAGCCUGCAUUUUAAAUGCAUUCAUUCAUCACUCUCGGGAAACUGAAUCUAACCAUGUAUCUGCAGGGAGUUAAUAUAUUUUUUAUUUUUUAUUCAGCUGUGUUAAACACUCAAUUCUGAUGAGUGAAAACUCCAGCAACAAUAAUUAAUUAUUGACAGCAAAAGAUAUGUCAGGACAACCUGAUCACUUUGCAUGACCACCCAUUACACCAUCCCAUUACUUGUUCUCCCCCCUGUCUUAAAGGUUUCUAUGUGCUGUUAGUACAGCGGGCCUGCUUGUGGACCUGCAUGUUUACAAUGAUUAGAAGUCUCACUUGUUAAUAAAAUCAUACUCUUAAUGCUAGAGCUGAUUGACUCAAACUUGAAUAGUUUUCAUUAUUAGUCUUCAACAAGCUAUCUAUAUCAUAGCUGACAAUACUAAGGCCGAACUUUAAGUGGCAGAGUCAAUAUUAUCAGACAUUGUUAGGUAACUUCUUUCUAUUUAUCUGCUUUUUCUGCAUUUCUCCCUGUCCUUCUUUCUCUGUCCAUCCACAAGCAGUUGAAUAAUGUAUUCGAUCUUUUGUAAAUGACUGCGAUUAUAAGAUAUAUAAGGUCUACAUCUUCACUCUUGAGGUCUUUCAUGAAUUGCAUUGAAAUGAAAACCUCAUAGAAUUGUGUCAAGCAGGUUGAGAGUAUAAUACAGCAAACACUAAGUGGAGAUUUUAUCAAUAUAUUGUUCAUGGUUGUGAAAAAAAAGCCAGAGUCUGCUCUAAUGUUUUCAUAAGGACAUAAGAUCCCCCUCUGUCAGCUGCAUGUUCUCUCCUUAUUCAGCUUUAGAGUUACACUUGGGUGAACAUUAGGGCUAAAAGCAGAGCAGUUUACUUUUUUCCCACUGUGCCAUUACUGUGAUAACUUCUCUCUCUCUUAUUGCUCUGACCCUGCUGAGUGAUUCAUAGACGCAGACAGUACAAAGCCAAAAUAGCAGCAAUCAGUGAGAAGGUUAUCUUGCUAUUG
rnacentral:lncRNA from 1 species